UACAGAGGUCUCAAGCGUUGUUCGGAUUCAUUGGGCGUAAAGGGCGUGCAGGCGGUCAGGUAAGUGGGAUGUGAAAUGCCCCGGCUCACCCGGGGACCGGCAUCUCAUACUGCUUGGCUUGAGUACGGGAGAGGAUGUGGGAAUUCCUGGUGUAGCGGUGAAAUGCGUAGAUAUCAGGAGGAACACCGGUGGCGAAGGCGCACAUCUGGCCCGAUACUGACGCUGAGGCGCGAAAGCUAGGGGAGCAAACGGG
rnacentral:rRNA from 1 species